rnacentral:rRNA from 1 species
AUUGAACGCUGGCGGCAUGCUUUACACAUGCAAGUCGAACGGUAACAGGUUAAGCUGACGAGUGGCGAACGGGUGAGUAAUGCAUCGGAACGUGCCCGAUCGUGGGGGAUAACGCAGCGAAACCUGCGCUAAUACCGCAUACGAUCUGAGGAUGAAAGCGGGGGACCGUAAGGCCUCGCGCGAUCGGAGCGGCCGAUGUCAGAUUAGGUAGUUGGUGGGGUAAAGGCUCACCAAGCCGACGAUCUGUAGCUGGUCUGAGAGGACGACCAGCCACACUGGGACUGAGACACGGCCCAGACUCCUACGGGAGGCAGCAGUGGGGAAUUUUGGACAAUGGGCGCAAGCCUGAUCCAGCAAUGCCGCGUGCAGGAAGAAGGCCUUCGGGUUGUAAACUGCUUUUGUACGGAGCGAAAAGGCUCUCUCUAAUACAGGGGGCUCAUGACGGUACCGUAAGGAUAAGCACCGGCUAACUACGUGCCAGCCGCCGCGGUAA